rnacentral:tRNA from 1 species
AGCAAUGUAGUGUAGUGGUAAGGCACAGGGCUUGUAACCAAAAGGUUGUUGGUUUGAUUCCCCACUGCUG